UGACACGUUAAAUGAAAUUAGCAUAAAACAUCUGAACCUACGGAGGAUUUAAAGACAUAAAAAACACAUUCCCAGGGGAAAAUGACAAAAAAUCAGCUGGUAGUUACAGAUUAUCAGCCUUGGUGAGCGGAAGAAGAGCACAAAGGAAUGUUGUACCUGGACUGACUGUAGACGCCGGGGCAGUAGAGGAGAGCCGUCAUGAGAUACUGUCGAGGACAGAGGCUGCACAGCACCAGACUGAUCCCAUACAGAGAGGAGAGAGUGAUCCCUCGGACGAAGCCCCUCGACGGAGAGUUUGUGGAUGGCGGUGAUCAGGGCGAAGCUCUUUGUCAAAUGCCAUCAUGUUCCACUCCUGCCGGCGGUUUCUCACUUUUCUCACCUUCUUCACUUCACGCUGAAGGGUGCUGCUCUCCACACAUCGCUUCUGUUCCUGGUUGGAGUGUCCUGAAGCAUUUUCUCCUUCCACAGGUCAAAAAAGUAAGAAGGGUCGGAGUAAAAUUUCAUUGCAUUUGUAGAAUCCUCCCUGUAGACACAAUUUUCCAUAUUAAAA